rnacentral:tRNA from 1 species
GGUGCGGUAGCUCGUCGGUAGAGCAGGAUUGAAAAUCUGUGUCGCCGGUUCGAUCCCGGCCCACAUUA